rnacentral:rRNA from 1 species
CUUGCUAAGGCCGAUGGCGACCGGCGCACGGGUGAGUAACACGUAUCUAACCUGCCGUCUACUCUUGGACAGCCUUCUGAAAGGAAGAUUAAUACAAGAUGGCAUCAUGAGUCCACAUGUUCACAUGAUUAAAGGUAUUCCGGUAGACGAUGGGGAUGCGUUCCAUUAGAUAGUAGGCGGGGUAACGGCCCACCAAGGCGACGAUCAGUAGCCGGACUGAGAGGUUGACCGGCCACAUUGGGACUGAGAUACGGCCCAGACUCC